AGGAAUUGGCGCCUGAGCGCUCCUGAUUGAGCGCCUGAGCGCCAAUUACCUCCAGAGAGCUUGUUUUGGCUUGGAAUUGGCGCUCAGGCGUGCUUAAUUGGCGCCUGAGCGCCCAGACUCGACCUGUUUGCCUAUAAAUAGGCUUUUUGUCAUUUCUUUUGUAACUUUUGUCAUUUCUAUACAUUCCUAAAUAAGUUAGAAGUAGGGUUAGGCUCUGGAGCUUGAGGAGAAGCAUUCUCCAAGUCCAUGUUCCAGGUUUUAUCCUUCUUUUCUUGUAUGGAUUCUAUAGCCAUGCUUGGCUAAAACCCCUUUUGUUUUGGGUUCUUUGUAAGACUUUGGAUGUUUUAGCUUUCAUUCCUUUUCUAUUCAUGUUGUUCUGAGUAAACCCUUGAAUCUCACUCCUAUGCUUUAUCUCUCAAGCUUGAAUGCAUGCUAGCUUUUUACUUUUCUAUAAUCAUAACGAUAGUUUGUUAUAGAAUUGGGACUUGUUGUGAGAUUACCUCUUCUAUACUUGCUGCUAGGAAUAGAGGAAGGGUUGAGGUUUGUUGGCCUGAAUUGCAUGCUUAGUGCUUCUAACAAAUGUUUAGGUUAUCAAGGAAUUGAGUCUAUCUUUUGAUUAGAAAGGGUUUUCUUUACGAGGCAUCGAUAGAUGACUAUCUAGGCUAGAACAUCAAGGAGAGACUCAGGAUUAGUUGAAUAGGAAGGUUUGCUAAAACUGAAUUUGUUGAGCAAGAACCCAAGGCAAUCUCAUUUCUGAAUUUCAAUCGCUUUAUUACUUGACCACUUGUCUUUUUACAAACUCAAGAAACAACCAAUCAUUAAAACUGAAUUUUACUCGCUUUCUUACCGUGAACUCGAGGCUUAAACUGAAUUCACAUUCCAAUUCCCUGUGGUUCGAUAAAUUAAAACCGGGUAGAUUCUGUACACUUGCAGAAGAACCAACAAGUUUUUGGCGCCGUUGCCGGGGAAUUGUUUGUGGUUUUUGGUUUAAGUUUUUAGUUUGUGGUUUUAUUUUUGUUUUGAACUUGUCUAGAAUUGGUGCUACUAAUCUUUCUCUGUUUAGUAUCAAACUUUCAGGCUACUCUCACAAGAGACACCACCAUGGGUGGCCAAAUGACGGAGGAGGAGAUGCAAGCCCAUAUCGAGGCAAGAAUCCAAGAGGGGAUCACCCUCCGAUUAUGUGAACAAGAAGUUGAGAAUGCCAACCGGUCUCUUCGGGAACUCACUUCAGCUACUAUGAGUUAUGACUAUCCCGGGAGCAUUGUCUUUCCCGAGGGAGUGGGAAACUUUAAGUUUAGACCGGCAUUCAUCAACUUGGUGAGCCAAAACCAAUAUGGUGGAGGUACUUUGGAAGAUCCAUAUGCUCACAUGGAGAGGUUCAUCCGGAAUUGCAACACUUACCGUGUGAACAAUGUUCCGACGGAUGCAAUUCGGUUGAGCUUGUUUCCAUUUUCUUUGAAGGAUGCAGCGGAGGAAUGGCUGAAUUCAAAACCUCAAGGGAGUAUCACUACUUGGGAAGACCUAGCAGAAAAAUUCACAACAAGGUUCUUCCCAAGAGCUCUUUUGAGGAAGCUGAAAAAAGACAUUAUGAAUUUUGUGCAAACCAUUGAGGAAAAUCUCUAUGAAGCUUGGGAGCGCUUCAAGAAGCUAUUGAGGAAAUGUCCUCAACACAAUCUCACCCAAGCUGAAUUGGUUGCAACAUUUUAUGAUGGUCUACAAUACUCUUGGAGGUUUGGCCUAGAUGCGGCUUCAAAUGGGGAGUUCGAUGCUCUUCCCCCACAAGCGGGGUAUGACUUAAUAGAAAAGAUGGCAGCGAGAGCCAUGAACUCUGAAAAUGAUCGCCAAACCCGAAGGAGUAAGUUUGAAGUGGAAGCUUAUGACAAGCUCUUGGCCUCCAACAAGCAACUCACCGAACAAGUGGCGAAGAUUCGAAUGCAUAUUAAGGAGACCAAGGCUGUUGGUGCAAGAAUGACUUGUGUGGAGUGCAAGUCUUGUGGUGGACCUCAUGUUAGUAACUUGUGUACUGUCAAUGCUGAGAGCAAUGAAGCCAAAGCUAUAGCUCAAGGAAGCAUAGUUCCAUCCUCAAAUCAUAAACCUCUUGUCCAAACACAAGUUGUUGGAAAGGUGAAUUGCAAGAGGAGUUUAGAAGAGCUAUUGGAGAGUUGCAUCAACCGCAUGAACAACAACCAUAAGAACCAAGAGGCGGCUAUCAAGAACUUGGAGAACCAACUUGGCCAGCUAGCCAAGCAAAUGGCCGAGAUACCUCAAGGUAAGUUUUCUCCCGAUUCUUUAACUUUGUCUAAACAAGAGAAUUUUGCUGUUGUUACCACUAGGAGUGGGAGAGUGUUACACGAGUCAAAAAAACAAGAUGAGGGAGAGAAAAAUGAGAAAGUACAGGAAGAAUAUAAGGGUGCUACGGAGAAGAGAUUGAGUGAACCUGUGAAAGCUAGAGUUGUGAGCACUCCUUCUCCUGAACUUAGUAAGAUUCCAUUCCCUAAGGCUUUGGUCAAGAAAAAUCUGGAUAAACAGUUUUCUAAGUUUAUGGAAGUUUUUAAGAAACUCCACAUCAAUGUUCCUUUUUCUGAAGCCUUGGAGCAAAUGCCUAUCUAUGCUAAGUUCAUGAAGGACAUUUUAAAUAAGAGGAGGAAGUUGAGUGAGGUUGAUGAAACUAUCAUGAUGACCGAGGAGUGUAGUGCCAUUUUGCAAAGAAAAAUGCCUAAGAAGAGAAGGGAUCCCGAGAGUUUUACUAUCCCAGUGGAGAUUGAGGGGUUAACUGUUGUUGAAGCCUUGUGUGAUUUGGGAGCGAGCAUCAACUUGAUGCCGCUUAGCAUGUUUAGAAGGCUGAACUUAGGAGAGGUCACCCCGACCAUGCUUUCCUUACAAAUGGCGGACCGAUCCCUAAAAACACCUUAUGGGAUCAUUGAAGAUGUUAUGGUGAAGGUGGAUAAGUAUGUGUUCCCUGUGGACUUUGUGGUGCUGGACAUGGAAGAGGAUGCAAAGAUUCCUCUCAUUCUAGGCCGACCCUUCUUAGCCACUGGCAGGGCGAAGAUCGAUGUUGAUAAGGGUCAGCUCAUUCUCAGAGUUGGUGAGGACAAGGUAAGAUUUUCGGUUUUCAAUCCUAAUUUGCAAACUAACAUUAAUGAUGGUUUUGUUUGUGAUAUGAUCAAAAGCUUGUCCAUGUCUUCAAAGGAGAACCCCAAGGUAAGUGAAAAAGAUGUUGAGCUUAAUAAAGCUCUCAUGAAGCUUGUUAGUGAAAACAAGUAUGGGGGGUCUAAAGAUGAGAAUUUUCAAGCCCACACGGCCCGAUUCACUCAAGCUAGUCACCUUGUAAAGAUGGAAGGUGUGACUAGUGAUGAGCUCAUGAUUAAGCUCUUCCCUCACUCCUUGAAGGGGGGAUCAAGGAUUUGGUACGAUGGUUUAGAUGAUACCCUCUAUUGGGAGGAGUUUUUCCAAAAAUUUUGUGCAAGGAUCCUACCUUGCUCUUGUGGUAAGAAGUGUGAUGGUAAGGAAUUUCCUUCCUAACACCAAAGGAAGGAGAGUCCACCUAGGACUAUAACUUAGGGCUGCUUGGGAGACAACCCAAGUCUUGUUUUAUUUCGCUUGUUGGUUUGUUGCAUUUUGCAGGGAAUGAGAGCAUGGAUUUUGGAGUAGGAGGUGUGUCUAAGGCCUCCAUGGUAACUUGCAAAGGAGGUCGACUCUUUCCCUUAGUUAAGCUCAUGCAUUUUUGCAUAUCUUUCUUUUGUAGCUUUUACUUUUCUUUUAUUCAUGCAUUGUAAGUUAGAGUCAUUUUUGGGUCUUUACAUCCCUAUACUCACAUGUUUUUUCCCGUAGUUAUGCUCUCUAACAUGUUGCUAGUUUUGAAAAUGUUUUUGUGAAUACUUGUGUUGUUUUUUGGGGAUGAGUGAUUGCAUGCUUUGGGGAAGAGAGGAGGAGACUUUGGUCUUCCGAUUGUUUCUUAAGGAUAGAGUUGGUGUGAGUCCAUAAGGGUCUAUCUUUGACCCUUCACCAUAAAAUUUCCCUGGAGGAUCCUGACUCACUCGUACUUCUUGGUUCUGUAUUGAUUUCACUCUUUGCAUGCUUUGUGAUUCUUGCACAAUUCUUGAGACUUGUAGGUUUUUGAGCUUCGGAGUUGUUGGUUUGAACAAUGUCCUUAGUUGUCCCAUUUGAGCCUUAUUGGAGAAUUUGUUGUAGCCAAGUGAUUGGGACGGAUGUUUGGUUGGAUUUUGGGGAGUGUUGGUCCUUGCAUUGUUUUGGAGCUAAGUAAAGUUGAAAGUGUCUCUUGCCCCAAGUGAAAAAUAUUGAAAAAGAAGAAAAAUAAAAAGAAAAGAACUCCUAAUCAAGUUGGAGUUGAAAAAAAGAAAAAAAUAGAAGAAAAGAAAGUUGAGAAAGGGGUCAAGAGACUGGUGUUUGUAAAGUUUGUUGAUGAAAGCUCCAGGGUUAUGUGAUUGGACCACACUCAAUAGUUUUGAAGCCUAGUCUUCCUUAGGGACCAACCACCUUGUACUUCACCAAGCCAACAUUUCAACCCUUUGAAAGUCUCUUUGAAUUUGUGCAUGUUUGAUCUUUGUUGCUCUUGAGUGAAUGAUAUCCAAAACCUAUGAACUGCUUGUGUGCUCAGUGCACUAAAUGUAUAUCUCAUCCUAGGAAUUUUAGAUCUAUAUGCUUCUCAUGAUGGACUCUACACUCUUCCAACGAGUUCGGAAAUUCGUAAACCCAAAACCCUUAGUGCUCUGGUUUCUCAACCGGAGCUCUGAUACCACAAUGUAACGCCCCGAUUUCUCGAGUGUUACACAGUAACUAAUUAACCAAUUUUCAUAAAGAGUUUUCGUCGAUUCACUUAUUAAUCUUGAAUUAAUGAUAAAAGUUCAAUUUUACAAAAUUCUCGAAACUUAACCAUUUCAAACUUGCGGAAAUAAUCAUCAACGUAAACCUCAAACUUUAUUAAUCAUUGAAAAGAGUAUGAAAUAAAUAUCCGGAAGAAAACUUCAAAGUAAAUUACAUCAAGUUAAACUAUCUCAACUAAAAUAAAGUAAUGGUUCAAUACUUCCAAAACUCGGUACUCUCAACCCAAAAGAAAAAUGGAUGUCUCACAACCCAACCAUAUCCUUGGCCCCUUCCUCUUUAUCUUCUUCCUCUUCAUCAGAAGUGUAGUCGUCAUCUGUAGUGGCUCGUCACGUAGCAUCAACUCCCAAGAAUGAGUCGUCGCCAUUUUCUUCACGACCAUCUACCCCCCCCAAAUAAACACAUAGCAAACAAGCAGGGUCAGGUCCAACAAAAGAAUGAUAAUGACAAAAUCAACAACAACAUAUAUAAUAUAAGUACAUUAUAUGUCUUUUAUGGGAAAGAGUCAGUUACUAACGGAAUCUCACUUCACACAACCCACCAAAACUUCCAUGGCCAUCUUCGUGCUUCCGCAGAGGCACGGUUAUCACGGUGACCGCAGUCAACCAAAUCACGUGGAGCCGCAAUGAUCCACAAAAGUUCACGGUGACCGCAGUCAACCAAAUCACGUGAAGCCACACCGGCCCACAAGGUUCACGGGAGACCGCAGUCAACCCAAAUAACUCCCUCGCGUGCAAGGUACCAUCGUUCUCAUGGACCAUAGUCUACCUGACCUAUGUCCAAAUUAUUCACAUUUACUUGCAAGCGAGUUUAUUACACUUUUCUCUUUGUUAAGUCUCUAAAGUCAAUCCUAGAGUCUUAUCAUACUCUUUAUACAACAACCUUCACAACACAACAUUCACAGGUUACAAGGGAAUUACGGCUAGGUGAGCGACCCUUGAACCAUUAACUGAGAAAAUAAAUAUAAUCCACGUAAAGGAACGCAAGAACAUUCACUCAUGCAUAAUAUAUCAUCGCAACUUCAACAUAUUGACAGCAGAAACAACUUUCACAAAAAUAGAGCCACAGAAUGCAUCUUUCAACCAAAAAUCACGUAUGAUACCUUUCUAGAAAGCUAUUUUAAAUAUCUACAACUCUCUCAUUACGCACUUGUUCAUUUGAGUCCCAGAAUUAGGUGAGAUUAGGACUUAAAGCUAACUGUCCGGAACAGGAAAAACAGCAGGUGUGACAGUUACUAAACACGACCCCCAGAUCACAUUACUAAACCAAAAAUUAUGCUUUUUAUAUGUCUGGAAAGAUAUUUCGAAAAUCUACAACUUUCAUUUUAAUCACUUUUUCAUUUGAUGACCAUAAACAGGUAAAAAGGGGCUCUGAAGUCCGCUGUCCAGUACAGGAAAUUGGCAGCGAAACUCCCAUGGCUCUAUGGUUUUCAAAAAUAAUUUUCCUUCCUUCCCCUUUGAUCAUGGCAAUCUUGGUACAGCCCCAACAACCCAAAUAUCCACUCAAAAUUUCAGAACCAAACAUUUAGCCAGGAUCAUGUUAUAACAAGUGCAAAAUAGCACAAAACUUAACAAAUACCAUGGCAACUCGCAUAAAAUCAUAGAUUCAGAUCAUAAACAACGUUUGAGGAUCAUAUUCAUGGCUUUUCAAGAGAAAAAUUCCAGCAAGCAAGCAUGUACAGGAAAUCAUGCAAAAACAGUCCAAAACUCAAGUUGUUUCUCAUGGCAAUUCAUGGCAUAUUCCCUAAAGAACCUACCCAUUCCUAGAACCAGCCCUUACCUCGGGUUUUGAAUGAAUUUAGAUGAAAAGAAGUAGGAUUUUGAUGGAGAGAAGUGAAGAAUAGAAAGAGCUUCCUCUGCUGUCCAAAAUUCUCCUUCCUCCACGUACUUCCUCUCCUUCUCGCGUUUCCUCUCCUUCCUUGCGGUUUUUCUCUCUUUCUCGUGUCUCCUCCUCCUUCUUGGUGGGCGAUGGUUGCUGGUGGUGCAAGGGUGACGAGUGGAGGCCUCUUAGGAGCAAGGGGAAGGGUGCUGGUUUGCUUGUUUGGUUGGUGUUUACGUGAAAUAUUUUCUGGUGCUGUUUUGCAUGUAAGAAAAUAAGGAUUUCACUCUAAUCCUUGCCUAUAGGUGGCGGCCAGGGCUUGUGUGGGCUAGGGUUCUGGUUUCAGAUCUGAUACAGCCCAAGAAAAGAGUAUUAAUGACUCAUUAAAGCUCAUAAUUCAGAGGAAAAACCAGCUGCAGCCCCCUUCCUUUUCCAUGGGCAGCCGGCGGCUCACCAAGCCUCAGGGUUUUCAAAACCCUUGCUUCUUUCCUUGGAUCAGCCUUCCUUGGCCCAUAAUGCUCCACUCAGCCUAAGAACCUUCUGAUUAUGAGUUUAAUCCACCACUUAACCCAAAUUAAAAAGGUUUAAGCCCAAAACACAAACCCAACUUUUAAUAAAAUUUCGUAGGUACUGUACAGCCCGACCUUUGCUCAUUAAAACAGGGAUAUCUGGAGCUACAGAUAUCGGAUUUACACGAAACCACAUCGAGAAUUUUCUUAACUUAAAGGGCUACAACUCUCAUGAAGGAAGUCUUCCCAAAGAAGUCGUUAAGACCCUCUAAAAAUUCGCACAAGUUGACAGUUCUAAUCUGCCAGUUAUCAAACAUUAGCUAAAACUUCAAUUUUAUUCAAACUUCCAUAAAAUUGUUCCAAAUUGAACUUAGGGCCUUACACAUAGUUUUAUAGGGACCUUUCAUGCAUUUUGAGUAAGUUUAGGACUUGCAUAUCUUUUCUACUUGAAUUGAGGGUCUUUUGUGCUAAUAAACUCUUGGAAAUCCUAGAUAUUUUCCUUGCUUUGUUCUCAAGCAGCUAGGUCUGAAAACUGAUGAAGAAAGAAGGUCAAAAGGCUUGGAAAAUUGAAGGUAGGCUUAAAGGGGAGUUAAGAAGAAAGUCAAGAGGCUUUCUAGCAUGUAGAGAGCGCUCAGGCGCUCGUGUUGAGCGCUUGAGCGCCAAUUGAUUCGAUGUUUACAUGAUGCUAGAAAGGAAUUGGCGCCUGAGCGCUCCUGAUUGAGCGCCUGAGCGCCAAUUACCUCCAGAGAGCUUGUUUUGGCUUGGAAUUGGCGCUCAGGCGUGCUUAAUUGGCGCCUGAGCGCCCAGACUCGACCUGUUUGCCUAUAAAUAGGCUUUAUGUCAUUUCUUUUGUAACUUUUGUCAUUUCUAUACAUUCCUAAAUAAGUUAGAAGUAGGGUUAGGCUCUGGAGCUUGAGGAGAAGCAUUCUCCAAGUCCAUGUUCCAGGUUUUAUCCUUCUUUUCUUGUAUGGAUUCUAUAGCCAUGCUUGGCUAAA
rnacentral:lncRNA from 1 species